AGAGUUUGAUCCUGGCUCAGGAUGAACGCUAGCGGCAGGCCUAAUACAUGCAAGUCGAACGGUCCUAGCAAUAGGAUAGUGGCGCACGGGUGCGUAACGCGUAACCAACCUACCUGGAUCUGGGGGAUAGCCCGCCGAAAGGCGGAUUAAUACCGCAUAAGACUAUAGUGUGGCAUCACAGAGUAGUUAAAGAUUUAUUGGAUUCAGAUGGGGUUGCGUAGCAUUAGCUAGAUGGCGGGGUAACGGCCCACCAUGGCGACGAUGCUUAGGGGACCUGAGAGGGUGAUCCCCCACACUGGCACUGAGAUACGGGCCAGACUCCUACGGGAGGCAGCAGUAGGGAAUAUUGGACAAUGGGCGCAAGCCUGAUCCAGCAAUGCCGCGUGAGUGAUGAAGGCCUUAGGGUUGUAAAGCUCUUUUACCCGGGAUGAUAAUGACAGUACCGGGAGAAUAAGCUCCGGCUAACUCCGUGCCAGCAGCCGCGGUAAUACGGAGGGAGCUAGCGUUGUUCGGAAUUACUGGGCGUAAAGCGCGCGUAGGCGGCUUUGUAAGUUAGGGGUGAAAGCCCGGUGCUCAACACCGGAAUUGCCUUUAAGACUGCAUCGCUUGAAUCCAGGAGAGGUGAGUGGAAUUCCGAGUGUAGAGGUGAAAUUCGUAGAUAUUCGGAAGAACACCAGUGGCGAAGGCGGCUCACUGGACUGGUAUUGACGCUGAGGUGCGAAAGCGUGGGGAGCAAACAGGAUUAGAUACCCCGGUAGUCC
rnacentral:rRNA from 1 species